CCUACGGGUGGCAGCAGUGAGGAAUAUUGGUCAAUGGGCGCUAGCCUGAACCAGCCAAGCAGCGUGAAGGAGGACUGCCCAAAGGAUUGUAAACCUCUUUUAUAUGGGAAUAAAGUGCAGUAUGUAUACUGCUUUGCAUGUACCUUAUGAAUAAGGAUCGGCUAACUCCGUGCCAGCAGCCGCGGUAAUACGGAGGAUCCGAGCGUUAUCCGGAUUUAUUGGGUUUAAAGGGUGCGUAGGCGGGUUGUUAAGUCAGUUGUGAAAGGUUGGGGCUCAACCGUAAAAUUGCAGUUGAUACUGGCAUCCUUGAGUACAGUAGAGGUAUGCGGAAUUCGUGGUGUAGCGGUGAAAUGCUUAGAUAUCACGAAGAACUCCGAUUGCGAAGGCAGCAUGCUGGCCUGUAACUGACGCUGAGGCACGAAAGUGUGGGUAUCGAACAGGAUUAGAUACCCGAGUAGUC
rnacentral:rRNA from 1 species